UACGUAGGACCCAAGCGUUAUCCGGAAUCACUGGGCGUAAAGAGUAGCGUAGGCGGUCAGCUAAGCAAAGUAUGAAAUCUUGUGGCUUAACCAUAAGGCUAUAUUUUGAACUGGUUGACUAGAGUAUAGAAGAGGUAACUGGAAUUCCUAGUGUAGGAGUGAAAUCCGUAGAUAUUAGGAGGAACACCGAUGGCGUAGGCAGGUUACUGGUCUAUAACUGACGCUAAGGCACGAAAGCGUGGGGAGCAAACGGG
rnacentral:rRNA from 1 species